rnacentral:rRNA from 1 species
GACGAACGCUGGCGGCGUGCCUAAUACAUGCAAGUAGAACGCUGAAGAGAGGAGCUUGCUCUUCUUGGAUGAGUUGCGAACGGGUGAGUAACGCGUAGGUAACCUGCCUUGUAGCGGGGGAUAACUAUUGGAAACGAUAGCUAAUACCGCAUAACAAUGGAUGACACAUGUCAUUUAUUUGAAAGGGGCAAUUGCUCCACUACAAGAUGGACCUGCGUUGUAUUAGCUAGUAGGUGAGGUAAUGGCUCACCUAGGCGACGAUACAUAGCCGACCUGAGAGGGUGAUCGGCCACACUGGGACUGAGACACGGCCCAGACUCCUACGGGAGGCAGCAGUAGGGAAUCUUCGGCAAUGGGGGCAACCCUGACCGAGCAACGCCGCGUGAGUGAAGGAGGUUUUCGGAUCGUAAAGCUCUGUUGUAAGCCAAGAACGGGUGUGAGAGUGGAAAGUUCACACUGUGACGGUAGCUUACCAGAAAGGGACGGCUAACUACGUG